UACAGAGGUCCCAUGCGUUGUUCGGAUUCACUGGGCGUAAAGGGUGCGUAGGUGGCUUUGCAAGUCUGAUGUGAAAUCUCCGGGCUUAACCCGGAAAUGGCAUUAGAAACUGUGAGGCUUGAGGCUUGGAGGGGGAACUGGAAUUCUCGGUGUAGCAGUGAAAUGCGUAGAGAUCGAGAGGAACACCAGUGGCGAAGGCGAGUUCCUGGACAAGUCCUGACACUGAGGCACGAAAGCCGGGGGAGCAAACAGG
rnacentral:rRNA from 1 species